rnacentral:rRNA from 1 species
AUUGAACGCUAGCGGCAUGCCUUACACAUGCAAGUCGAACGGCAGCGGGGGAGCUUGCUCCCGCCGGCGAGUGGCGAACGGGUGAGUAAUACAUCGGAACGUACCCAGUAGCGGGGGAUAGCCCGGCGAAAGCCGGAUUAAUACCGCAUACGCCCUACGGGGGAAAGGGGGGGAUCGCAAGACCUCUCACUAUUGGAGCGGCCGAUGGCUGAUUAGCUAGUUGGUAGGGUAAAGGCCUACCAAGGCGACGAUCAGUAGCUGGUCUGAGAGGACGACCAGCCACACUGGGACUGAGACACGGCCCAGACUCCUACGGGAGGCAGCAGUGGGGAAUUUUGGACAAUGGGCGAAAGCCUGAUCCAGCAAUGCCGCGUGUGCGAAGAAGGCCUUCGGGUUGUAAAGCACUUUUGUCAGGGAAGAAAUCGUUUGGGUUAAUACCCCGAGCAGUUGACGGUACCUGAAGAAUAAGCACCGGCUAACUACGUGCCAGCCGCCGCAGUAA